AAGGAUUUAGGUUAAAUUAAACCCUUAGCCUUCAAAGCUAGAAAUAGGAGGUUCCCUAAGCCUUA
rnacentral:tRNA from 1 species